CUGCCAGGGGCUGAGAACCCUUCUGACCAACACAGAACACAAUUCACAAACUUUGGCUAAAGAAACAAGGGGAACUGGAAAGAAAAUGCACCUGAUUCCAUUUGGAAGACCAAAAUCCGUGGAAAAAAAAGUUUAGGCAAAAUUGAGUCGCUACCUUCUGACUAAGCUUCAAAAUAAACUACAGUAAUUUUCCUGUGAAGACUUCAUUAUAUAUGACAGUGUAAUUCAUCAAAGAUUCCGGUGCCUGGGAUGCAGACACAUCCCCUCAGAGCAGUGCCAGUGCAGACAUCCUGAUGUGCAGCAGGUUUGUUACUGAGGCUCCUGGGCAGCAGCACAGCACCAGAGGCUCAGUUUGCUGGAUGGUGUGAAGUGCCGUUCCAACAAUUACCUAUUACUGCUGCUCCCCAUCUGGGGAUUCUUUACAUCUCCCAUAACAAUGGUGUGUUGGAGUUAUGCACAGACCUUUUAUAUGAGUGGACAUAAUAUAUUCCCACUGCUUUCAAAAACAUCAAGAGGCUUCAUGAUGAUCACAGGCUCUCUGGCUGCAAAGGCGCCUUACACAACAUUAAAUUAUCUAGUGUAUUGAUUUCAAGGGAGACAUGAAUAGAUCCAGGCCUUUUCUCUCCAUAAUGAGAAAGCAAACAACCACCCAGAAUUUAAACAGUUUAGAAUGAAAAGAUAAUCCAGCAACUCCAUUGAAAGGUCUGAUAACAGACUGGCUUACUAGGGCACUUCACUCUGAGCUCUUUUAUUUCAAACUACAGAGUAAGCAGCUGUUCAAAAUGACAGCUAUCUGAAAGUACUUGCAGAUACUGCAAAAUAGUCUGGAGCAUCUUUGCUUUGCUUUUUUUUUUUAAAUAGUCUAGACACUUAUUCCCACUCUCAAUCACUGAAUCACCUUGUCUCUUUCAAAAUAGGGAUCUUUGUCACUUUAACCAGCCAGGUCUAAAAGAUGUGCUGGGAAGAAUAAUUAUAAAUUCUGCACCUCUAUAAUCCAGAGUUUAAUUAUUUAUGUUCACAUGCAUCAGACUGACUGCACACACACAUAGUUCAGAAGCCUGUGUUCCAACAAUGGCCUGAGAUUUCUGAAUAUACUGGCUUUUUAUGUUUGGGGGGUAUGCACAGAAUGGGACAAACAUUCAAUAUCCUCUGACUUCCUUCAAAUUUGAUCUCCUGGCAGCAAACAGAAUAUAUCUGAAGAAAUGUGAAUAUAUGGCUGGGCUGUGUAAAUGACCCAUCCAGCCAACCAUCCAUCCACUCAUCUUAAGAGAACAAGAGGGAGGGACACUGUUUGCAGUAGUUUGAGGACAUGUAGCACAACCUUUGUUCUGUGCUCUGCCUUCUGCAGACUCAAAAUCUACUUUGCUCUGUUGUACUGCUUACUGAUGGCAAAAUGAAAUCAGAAUGGGGUUCUGGAAAAAUAACACCUAAAAGAUGGGUUAGGGUAAUCUGUCAUAUCAGAAGGGGGAGGGAGCAUCCUUCUUUAACCAGUAAGAAACUGCAGUAAGUUGGUAUUCUAAUUGUCUGUACAAUAUAAUUCCUGCUUAAAAUGCAAGCAAAAAUGGUAAAAAAGCAACAAGAUUCCCUUUUUUAUAAAUAAUCAUAAAAUUUUUAAUUGGGUUGAAUUUCAUGCACCUAACAUACUAUAUAUGCUGCAGCAUAACGCAGAAGUACUGGCUCUGUAGAUUUUUUGCCUUUAGUAAUCUGGCAUUUUUCCUCAAUUUCUUCUUCCUUUUAAUUGCUGCCUGGGUAUUACAGCCUUUGAACAGCUGAACAACAUUACAGAUUAUUUUGCUGAAUCAACGCCCUAGAAAAUGUGCUUUAUCAUCAUGAUAUGGCCAUUUGCUGAUUAUUGCACUGAACUUAAAUAUUAAAAGCUGCAAAAGUAUUUCAAGUUCUCCUUUCUCUCUCCUCACAUCUGCAAGCAUAGAUUAAGGAUGGUCAUUAUUUUUGUCCUCUAAAGUCAACAUCUCUUUUUAUCCUGAUUUCAUGCAGUAUUUUAUUUAUACUGGUAUAAGAAUGAGGUG